rnacentral:rRNA from 1 species
AGUGAACGCUGGCGGUAGGCCUAACACAUGCAAGUCGAACGGCAGCACAGUAAGAGCUUGCUCUUACGGGUGGCGAGUGGCGGACGGGUGAGGAAUACAUCGGAAUCUACUUUUUCGUGGGGGAUAACGUAGGGAAACUUACGCUAAUACCGCAUACGACCUACGGGUGAAAGCAGGGGAUCUUCGGACCUUGCGCGAUUGAAUGAGCCGAUGUCGGAUUAGCUAGUUGGCGGGGUAAAGGCCCGCCAAGGCGACGAUCCGUAGCUGGUCUGAGAGGAUGAUCAGCCACACUGGAACUAAGACACGGUCCAGACUCCUACGGGAGGCAGCAGUGGGGAAUAUUGGACAAUGGGCGCAAGCCUGAUCCAGCCAUACCGCGUGGGUGAAGAAGGCCUUCGGGUUGUAAAGCCCUUUUGUUGGGAAAGAAAAGCAGCAGGUUAAUACCCCGCUGUUCUGACGGUACCCAAAGAAUAAGCACCGGCUAACUUCGUG